rnacentral:rRNA from 1 species
AAUUGAGGCCUGGCGGCAUGGCUAAGCAUGCAAGUCUGGGAGAACCUUCGGGGGAAACCGGCGAAAGGGCGAGUAAUGCGAUCGAACGUACCCCAAUGUGGGGGAUAGCGUCGGGAAACUGGCAGUAAUAUCCCGUGUGCUCUACGGAGGAAGUUGGGAGCGGCGAUCGUCCUAUCAGGUUGUUGGCGGGGUAAAGGCCCACCAAGCCGAAGACGGGUAGCGGGUGUGAGAGCAUGGCCCGCCGCAUCGGGACUGAGACACUGCCCGGACUCCUACGGGAGGCUGCAGCGACGAAUCUUCCGCAAUGCGCGAAAACGUGACGGAGCAAUGCCGCGUGUAGGAUGAGGGCGCUCUGCGUCGUAAACUACUGCCAGACCCUAGAACCAACGAUCAGGGUCAGAGGAAGGGCCGGCUAAACUCGUGCCAGCAGCCGCGGUAAUACGAGUGGCCCAAGCGUUAAUCGGAAUCACUGGGCUUAAAGCGUGCGCAGGCGGACCUUCAGGCGUCCCGUGAAAUACCCCGGCUCAACCGGGGAAUGGCUGGGCGAACCGUUGGUCUUGAGGCAGGUAGGGGGGUGCAGAACUGUCGGUGGAGCGGUGAAAUGCGUAGAUAUCGUCAGGAAUGCCGAAGGCGAAGGCGGCACCCUGGGCCUGUCCUGACGCUCAUGCACGAAAGCGUGGGGAGCAAACAGGAUUAGAUACCCCGGUAGUCCACGCCGUAAACGAUGCACACUAGAUCGGAGUAGGUCUGACCCUUUUCCGGUCGAAGCGAAAGCGUUAAGUGUGCCGCCUGGGGGAGUACGGUCGCAAGGCUAAAACUCAAAUGAAUUGACG